rnacentral:rRNA from 1 species
CUUAGAGGUAAACGAGUGGAGCCGAAGGAGUUGUAUAGAAUUCAGUCGAUUAUGUUUUGUACGUAUAUUAACAGCAUUUUUAUGGGAGUUGUUGGUAUACACUUUACAGAAUGUGAUUGAUGCAUUUUCUAUAUAACUAAACUGCGACCAAUAGUGUUGAUUUUCUGUCGUAAUUGUGAAGGUGAUCAAUUUUUCGGAAUUGGUUUUAUAGCUAAUUACAUGGUUAAUCAAUGUAUUGUUAAUUGCGGUUGGCUAAUUUUAAUAGUUAUUGAUUUGGAUUGCUUAUUAUUAGACUAUAAAUAGACUAGUUUUAAGUCGUUUAAGUCUUUGAUUGUUGAAGGGUCAACCUAAAGUCUGCAGUCAUUAUGUAGGUUACCUACUUGUCCCGUCUUGAAACACGGACCAAGGAGUUUUAUAUGAUCGCGAGUCAAAGGGCUUUACGAAACCCCAGGGCGUAAUUAAUGUAAUGAUUCACUUUAGUGAAUUGCAAUGUGACCUCGCCGUAAAAAGCUUGUGCAACAUUGACCCGUCUAAAGAUGUUCGCAUCUGGACGGAGUUUGAGCGAUCAUGUAGAGACCCGAAAGAUGGUGAACUAUGCUUGUGCAGGUUGAAGUCAGAGGAAACCCUGAUGGAAGACCGCCGCGGUUCUGACGUGCAAAUCGAUCGUCGGACAUGAGUAUAGGGGCGAAAGACUAAUCGAACCAUCUAGUAGCUGGUUCCCUCCGAAGUUUCCCUCAGGAUAGCUGGCAUUUGUUGUCGUAGUUUUACCUGGUAAAGCGAAUGAUUAGAAGUAUUGGGGACGAAAUGUCCUCAACUUAUUCUCAAACUUUAAAUGGGUUCGAAGUGCAUCUCUCUUUAUUGGAGAUGUACAUUGAAUACGAAUGCCUAGUGGGCCAUUUUUGGUAAGCAGAACUGGCGAUGUGGGAUGAACCAAACAUUUGGUUAAGGUGCCUAACAUCACGCUCAUGAGAACCCACAAAAGGUGUUGGUUGAUAAAGACAGCAGGACGGUGGACAUGGAAGUUGUCAUCCGCUAAGGAGUGUGUAACAACUCACCUGCCGAAUCAACCAGCCCUGAAAAUGGAUGGCGCUGUAGCGUGAGACCUAUACCAGAUCGGUAUCGUAUGUUUUGGUUCGUAAGAAUUGAAACUAGUAAGCGGUAUCGUGUAGGAGGGUGCCGUGGUUGCUAAGAAGCUACCAGCGUAAGUUGGAGUGGAGCGGUCACGGGUACAGAUCUU